CCUCCCAGACAGACGGNCCUCGAUCCCGUAAAU
rnacentral:tRNA from 1 species